UGUAUCAUUGACAUGAACAAUACCAACAAAUCUCUCAAUUACUUCGCCCUUUUUGUUAACAUAUCUCAAAACAAGUGCCAUUUGCUCCUUGUGUGAUAUAUCCUUCGAUUCAUCAACUAGUAUCCCGAAAAAAUCCCCAUCCAAGUCUUCAAUGAUAGCUUUGAUUGUUUCUUUGGCACAAGCAUCAACAAUAUCUUUCUGAAUCAUUGGGGAACACAUCAUUUCAUUUUUAUCAACAAUAUCUUUCUGAAUCAUAAGGGAACACAUCAUUUCAUUUUUUGGAGCAUUUUCUAAUAUAAUACUUCCAAUAUCUGGAGCAAUAUCUCCAUACCAUUGCAAGAGUUCAAGAAAGAUACCUCUAUUUGUAGAAGAUUGACUCUCAUCGUGCCCACGAAAUGGAAAUCCUAGUCUCAAAAGAAACGUAGCAACAUCGAUUGAAGCACUCAAGCGAUGUCGAGACUCACUUUUUUCUUUCUCGGAUAGCUUUUCAAAAAAAGUGCGAAUUGAUUGUGAUUGAUUCAUUAAAUCAAGCAUCCUAUUGAAACACUUGUUGUGGAUGCUAUCUACCUCUCCAACAUGAGCUUUAAAUCUUUCUAUAGCCUUGUUCCAACCUUUAAAGCCAUUUUU
rnacentral:lncRNA from 1 species